rnacentral:ncRNA from 1 species
UAUUCUCAGGGCGGGGCGAAAUUCCCCACCGGCGGUAAAUCAGCUACGGCUGAAAGCCCGCGAGCGCUUCCUAUGAACAUGGGAAGGUCAGCAGAUCCGGUGUAAUUCCGGGGCCGACGGUUAGAGUCCGGAUGGGAGAGAGU